rnacentral:rRNA from 1 species
UACGGAGGGUGCAAGCGUUGUCCGGAUUUAUUGGGUUUAAAGGGUGCGUAGGCGGCUUUUUAAGUCAGUGGUGAAAGACAACAGCUCAACUGUUGCAGUGCCAUUGAUACUGAAGAGCUUGAGUACAGAUGAGGUAGGCGGAAUGCGUCAUGUAGCGGUGAAAUGCUUAGAUAUGACGCAGAACACCAAUUGCGAAGGCAGCUUGCUGCACUGUUAUUGACACUGAGGCACGAAAGCGUGGGGAUCAAACAGG